rnacentral:rRNA from 1 species
CCUACGGGCGGCUGCAGUGGGGAAUAUUGGACAAUGGGGGCAACCCUGAUCCAGCCAUGCCGCGUGUGUGAAGAAGGCCCUCGGGUUGUAAAGCACUUUCAGUGAGGAAGAACGCCUGGUGGUUAAUACCCAUCAGGAAAGACAUCACUCACAGAAGAAGCACCGGCUAACUCCGUGCCAGCAGCCGCGGUAAUACGGAGGGUGUGAGCGUUAAUCGGAAUUACUGGGCGUAAAGCGCGCGUAGGUGGCUUGAUAAGCCGGUUGUGAAAGCCCCGGGCUCAACCUGGGAACGGCAUCCGGAACUGUCAAGCUAGAGUGCAGGAGAGGAAGGUAGAAUUCCCGGUGUAGCGGUGAAAUGCGUAGAGAUCGGGAGGAAUACCAGUGGCGAAGGCGGCCUUCUGGACUGACACUGACACUGAGGUGCGAAAGCGUGGGUAGCAAACAGGAUUAGAUACCCCGGUAGUC